rnacentral:rRNA from 1 species
GACAGAGGGUGCAAACGUUGUUCGGAAUUACUGGGCGUAAAGCGCGUGUAGGCGGCCAUCUAAGUCGGGUGUGAAAGCCCUGGGCUCAACCCAGGAAGUGCACUCGAAACUGACAGGCUAGAGUAUCGGAGAGGUUGGUGGAAUUCUCGGUGUAGAGGUGAAAUGCGUAGAUAUCGAGAGGAACACCUGCGGCGAAGGCGGGUUGCUGGGCUGACACUGACGCUGAAGCGCGAAAGCUAGGGGAGCGAACGGG